CCCUAUUAUACUUGACAUAAAGUAGACAAUACUUGAAUAUUAAUAGCUAUAUUCUUUAAAUUCAAAGAAUUUGGCGGUGCUUUAGUCUAGUUAGAGGAACCUGUUAUAUAAACGAUACAACACGCAAUAUCUUACUAAUCUUAGUUUGCCUGUAUACCGUCAUUACUAGAUAAUUUUUACAGAAAAAAUUAUUGAAACGGAAAGAGUCGAGUAUAUUAGAUCAAGGUGCAGCUUAUAGGUUAGAAAUAAUGGGUUACAAUAAAAUUUACUUAAUGGAUUAGAUACGUAAGAUAUCUAUGAAAGCGGAUUUAAUUGUAAUAAAAGUUUAAUAAGCUUUUAUGAUAAAAGAACUAAAUUAUGUACAUAUCGCCCG
rnacentral:rRNA from 1 species